rnacentral:rRNA from 1 species
GUUACGGCGGUUAUGGCGGGGAGGGAAAAACCCGGUUACAUUCCGAACCCGGAAGUUAAGCUUCUCUGCGCCGAUGGUACUGCACUCGGGAGGGUGUGGGAGAGUAGGUCACCGCCGGACAA